rnacentral:lncRNA from 1 species
GUUGGAGGCAGCAUGUGACUCCCAGGGCUACGUGGGCUCAAAAACAAUUUAAAUACAAAAACACAAGCAGGUUCCCCUCCUCUCCUUUGCCUUUUGGUCUGGCUCUCCCUUCCCUUUGGGUUGGCGCCGGCCUAAAUGGAAAACCCGUCGUCUUGCCUGCGCUAACCUGUGAGCACCGGGUACCUGGAGGCCAAGGCCCCUCUGCUGGGGGGGGGGCGGUCCCCCGGGAGCUGUACCCCAUCAUUCCGCAGCCCGGUGUGAACACUGAGGCCCAGAGAGGUGAUGUGAUUUGCCCUAAGCCAUGCAGCUAGUGGCAGAGCCAGGCCUAGAAGCCAGGUGUCCUGGCUCCCAAGACAUUCCGCUGCCCAAGGAAUGGAACAGCUCCCCCCUCUUCUUAGAUGACGCUGACAGCGGGUACCAGCACCCCCAGGCCAUUGUAAUUAGCAUCUGGCUCUGAGCCCAGUCUUCUGGCAGCACAUUCCUCUCCUCCCUCGCCAGCCAAUCUCCUUCCCCCAGCAUCCCUCCAUCAGCACUGCAGCAGCUGCAGCACCGACAACCUCCGCACCAAGGUCACCACCAGAACCAACAAUGACGAAGCACUCACUUCCCUCUUGGGUGGGCACCACACCGGUCAGCGCCUCGCGAUCGUCUGAGCCAUUCUGG